CCUACGGGAGGCAGCAGUGGGGAAUAUUGCACAAUGGGGGAAACCCUGAUGCAGCGACGCCGCGUGAGUGAAGAAGUAAUUCGUUAUGUAAAGCCUCAUUAGCCGGGAAGAAAAUGACGCUACCUGAGGCAGAAGCCCCGGCUAACUACGGGCAAGCAGCCGCGGUAAUACGUCGGGCGCAAGCGUUAUCCGGAUUUACUGGGUGUAAAGGGAGCGUAGGCGGCAGUGCAAGUCUGGAGUGAAAGGCGGGGGCUCAACCCGCGGACUGCUCUGGAAACUGUACGGCUGGAGUGCAGGAGAGGUAAGUGGAAUUCGUAGUGUAGCGGUGAAAUGCGUAGAUAUUAGGAGGAACGCCAAUGGCGAAGGCAGCAUACUGGACUGUAACUGACGUUGAGGCUCGAAAGCGUGGGGAGCGAACAGGAUUAGAUACCCGUGUAGUC
rnacentral:rRNA from 1 species